UUUCCGUAGGCGAACCUGCGGAAGGAUCAUUAUUGUAUAACCGAGGUGCGAGGGCUGUCGCUGACCCGAAAGGUCGUGGACGCCCGAGUGCCCUCACACACAUCCAUCUCACCCCUAUGUGCACCACCGCGUGGGUCCCCCUUUGGCUUGUUCGGAGGGGGGCUUACGUUUUCACACAAACUUUGUAUGCAGUGUAGAAUGUAUUUUUUGUUUUUGCGAUCACGCAAUCAAUACAACUUUCAACAACGGAUCUCUUGGCUCUC
rnacentral:misc_RNA from 1 species